rnacentral:piRNA from 1 species
CCCCUUUGCAGUGACAGAAGCCA